GGUUAAGCGACUAAGCGUACACGGUGGAUGCCCUGGCAGUCAGAGGCGAUGAAGGACGUGCUAAUCUGCGAUAAGCGUCGGUAAGGUGAUAUGAACCGUUAUAACCGGCGAUUUCCGAAUGGGGAAACCCAGUGUGUUUCGACACACUAUCAUUAACUGAAUCCAUAGGUUAAUGAGGCGAACCGGGGGAACUGAAACAUCUAAGUACCCCGAGGAAAAGAAAUCAACCGAGAUUCCCCCAGUAGCGGCGAGCGAACGGGGAGCAGCCCAGAGCCUGAAUCAGUGUGUGUGUUAGUGGAAGCGUCUGGAAAGGCGCGCGAUACAGGGUGACAGCCCCGUACACAAAAAUGCACAUACUGUGAGCUCGAUGAGUAGGGCGGGACACGUGGUAUCCUGUCUGAAUAUGGGGGGACCAUCCUCCAAGGCUAAAUACUCCUGACUGACCGAUAGUGAACCAGUACCGUGAGGGAAAGGCGAAAAGAACCCCGGCGAGGGGAGUGAAAAAGAACCUGAAACCGUGUACGUACAAGCAGUGGGAGCACAGAGCAAUCUGUGUGACUGCGUACCUUUUGUAUAAUGGGUCAGCGACUUAUAUUCUGUAGCAAGGUUAACCGAAUAGGGGAGCCGAAGGGAAACCGAGUCUUAACUGGGCGUUAAGUUGCAGGGUAUAGACCCGAAACCCGGUGAUCUAGCCAUGGGCAGGUUGAAGGUUGGGUAACACUAACUGGAGGACCGAACCGACUAAUGUUGAAAAAUUAGCGGAUGACUUGUGGCUGGGGGUGAAAGGCCAAUCAAACCGGGAGAUAGCUGGUUCUCCCCGAAAGCUAUUUAGGUAGCGCCUCGUGAAUUCAUCUCCGGGGGUAGAGCACUGUUUCGGCAAGGGGGUCAUCCCGACUUACCAACCCGAUGCAAACUGCGAAUACCGGAGAAUGUUAUCACGGGAGACACACGGCGGGUGCUAACGUCCGUCGUGAAGAGGGAAACAACCCAGACCGCCAGCUAAGGUCCCAAAGUCAUGGUUAAGUGGGAAACGAUGUGGGAAGGCCCAGACAGCCAGGAUGUUGGCUUAGAAGCAGCCAUCAUUUAAAGAAAGCGUAAUAGCUCACUGGUCGAGUCGGCCUGCGCGGAAGAUGUAACGGGGCUAAACCAUGCACCGAAGCUGCGGCAGCGACGCUUAUGCGUUGUUGGGUAGGGGAGCGUUCUGUAAGCCUGCGAAGGUGUGCUGUGAGGCAUGCUGGAGGUAUCAGAAGUGCGAAUGCUGACAUAAGUAACGAUAAAGCGGGUGAAAAGCCCGCUCGCCGGAAGACCAAGGGUUCCUGUCCAACGUUAAUCGGGGCAGGGUGAGUCGACCCCUAAGGCGAGGCCGAAAGGCGUAGUCGAUGGGAAACAGGUUAAUAUUCCUGUACUUGGUGUUACUGCGAAGGGGGGACGGAGAAGGCUAUGUUGGCCGGGCGACGGUUGUCCCGGUUUAAGCGUGUAGGCUGGUUUUCCAGGCAAAUCCGGAAAAUCAAGGCUGAGGCGUGAUGACGAGGCACUACGGUGCUGAAGCAACAAAUGCCCUGCUUCCAGGAAAAGCCUCUAAGCAUCAGGUAACAUCAAAUCGUACCCCAAACCGACACAGGUGGUCAGGUAGAGAAUACCAAGGCGCUUGAGAGAACUCGGGUGAAGGAACUAGGCAAAAUGGUGCCGUAACUUCGGGAGAAGGCACGCUGAUAUGUAGGUGAAGUCCCUCGCGGAUGGAGCUGAAAUCAGUCGAAGAUACCAGCUGGCUGCAACUGUUUAUUAAAAACACAGCACUGUGCAAACACGAAAGUGGACGUAUACGGUGUGACGCCUGCCCGGUGCCGGAAGGUUAAUUGAUGGGGUCAGCGCAAGCGAAGCUCUUGAUCGAAGCCCCGGUAAACGGCGGCCGUAACUAUAACGGUCCUAAGGUAGCGAAAUUCCUUGUCGGGUAAGUUCCGACCUGCACGAAUGGCGUAAUGAUGGCCAGGCUGUCUCCACCCGAGACUCAGUGAAAUUGAACUCGCUGUGAAGAUGCAGUGUACCCGCGGCAAGACGGAAAGACCCCGUGAACCUUUACUAUAGCUUGACACUGAACAUUGAGCCUUGAUGUGUAGGAUAGGUGGGAGGCUUUGAAGUGUGGACGCCAGUCUGCAUGGAGCCGACCUUGAAAUACCACCCUUUAAUGUUUGAUGUUCUAACGUUGACCCGUGAUCCGGGUUGCGGACAGUGUCUGGUGGGUAGUUUGACUGGGGCGGUCUCCUCCUAAAGAGUAACGGAGGAGCACGAAGGUUGGCUAAUCCUGGUCGGACAUCAGGAGGUUAGUGCAAUGGCAUAAGCCAGCUUGACUGCGAGCGUGACGGCGCGAGCAGGUGCGAAAGCAGGUCAUAGUGAUCCGGUGGUUCUGAAUGGAAGGGCCAUCGCUCAACGGAUAAAAGGUACUCCGGGGAUAACAGGCUGAUACCGCCCAAGAGUUCAUAUCGACGGCGGUGUUUGGCACCUCGAUGUCGGCUCAUCACAUCCUGGGGCUGAAGUAGGUCCCAAGGGUAUGGCUGUUCGCCAUUUAAAGUGGUACGCGAGCUGGGUUUAGAACGUCGUGAGACAGUUCGGUCCCUAUCUGCCGUGGGCGCUGGAGAACUGAGGGGGGCUGCUCCUAGUACGAGAGGACCGGAGUGGACGCAUCACUGGUGUUCGGGUUGUCAUGCCAAUGGCACUGCCCGGUAGCUAAAUGCGGAAGAGAUAAGUGCUGAAAGCAUCUAAGCACGAAACUUGCCCCGAGAUGAGUUCUCCCUGACUCCUUGAGAGUCCUGAAGGAACGUUGAAGACGACGACGUUGAUAGGCCGGGUGUGUAAGCGCAGCGAUGCGUUGAGCUAACCGGUACUAAUGAACCGUGAGGCUUAACCUU
rnacentral:rRNA from 1 species